GGCGUAAGGGUUCGCAGGCGGUUUAGAAAGUCAGAUGUGAAAGGCGAGGGCUCAACCCUCGUAAGCAUUUGAAACUUCUAAACUUGAGUAGUGAAGAGGUAAGUGGAAUUCCUAGUGUAGCGGUGAAAUGCGUAGAUAUUAGGAGGAAUACCGGUGGCGAAGGCGACUUACUGGUCACAAACUGACGCUGAGGAACGAAAGCGUGGGUAGCAAACAGGAUUAGAUACCC
rnacentral:rRNA from 1 species